rnacentral:tRNA from 2 species
CAUCCGAUAGUUUAGUUGGUAAAACACAGACGGUUAGUGCUGGAGUCGCUGUUUCGAAGUCAGCUCGGAUGU